GUUGUGCUGAUAUACUGGUUCGAUGGCAUCUUUGAGAAGUACAUUUUUUAUUUCUUCUUCUAGGGUUUGCGACGGUGGAGUAAUGAUGUGUGUUGGUGGAGGAAGUUGGAGGAAAUGGACGUAGUAGCCAUUCUGGAUGAUGGAAAGUACCCAGACAUCUGUGGUGAUGGAUUCCCAGACAGGGUCUACUGGGAGUUGAAGGCCGUGCAUCGAUGGAGGGACCAAGCGUGUGUCGACUGACCAGGGUGGAUAUCAAGAAUCAUCAAUAUCAGAGCCUGUAAUCUUGAUGAUGUCAAAACAGAGAAAAUCACAAAAGAUACACAACAUACUGGUCACGGAACCUCUGGGCAAAACCAGGACCAGCUCUGUCAACCACUCAAAAGGCCCUGAACAGCCUCUGCAGAAAACACUGAAACCCAAGUGGAGAUACGGCACUUCAACCAUGAGUGGAAGAAGAGUGAGGCCAUUGUGUUGAGGCUAUUGUGAGUUCUGCAACAUCUUCCUGUCCCAGCAACUGUAUGUGAUUUUCCUUCCAUGCAACGAAUGAGAGAGAAUUUAUGCAAAAAUGUGAUGGGACAGAGAGAGAGAGGGAGAGAGAGAGAAACACUGUUCCUCCCCUCAAGUCCAGCAGGGCUUGGGUUCCUCUGCCUUUGAAUCAGAGGCCCAGUCUGGUUGUCUUAGGCUACAACUAAAGGAGAUUUGGGUUAAUAUCCCCACUUCGUUGUGAAGCUCACUAAGGGCCUGCACCAUUCCCCAGGAAUCCCUCAGGAGAAGGUGGAAUUCACACUGAGCAGAACAGCCUCCAGCUUUUUUGACGAUAAAGCAGGAAGGAGGCUGACGGAGGAAAGAUACAAUAUAUAAAAUAAACACAACUUAUUUUUUUUAAAAAAGAAUGAAGUUAAGACUCACUAACUUGGAUGAAACUACCACCUCUGUAUAGGAUAGCAAUCUUGAGGUACUGAAAAAUGUUGUGUUGGAAAAAUAUCAGGGAACCCUUAGGGAAAAAAAAUAAGUGGGGGAUAUUUUUGAAACAUUAGAAAUGUUUUAAAAAGGAUAAUUCCUCAUUCUGCGGAGAAAAAAUGAUGCCAUAUUAGACUGUAAAUUAUGGGUCGCUGAUGAAUAAAAAUUAGAAUCAUUUAGAACUUAGAAUUCUAAGACUCAGAAAUAAAAUGGGGUUGUUUUUAAGGCUGAGAAAUCCAUGCUAUCCCUAAGAUCCUGUAGAUGUACAGUUUUUUUGCCCAAGCAAAUGAAUAUGGCCACUGAUUUGUGACCCGUAUAAGAUUUCAAACCAGUCUCUCUCAAUCUGAGCAACCCUGUAUGGUUUAAACGAUCUUUGUUGAGGAACUGAACAAACACACCUUUGAAUGUAAGAUACUUCACUGGUUGCCUCCGGGGUUCCUGCCUUUCCCCACCACCUCUUCUAACACUAGUAAACAGGUUUUUAUGCAAUUUGUAUUCAUUUUUUGUGAAAACAGCCCCUUAAGUAUGACCAGCCUAAAAAUACUUAUCGUUUUGGAAGAAGACAAAUCUCUCUUAGCGCUUCAGGACAGUA